GACGAACGCUGGCGGCGUGCCUAAUACAUGCAAGUAGAACGCUGAAGAAAGGAGCUUGCUUCUUUUGGAUGAGUUGCGAACGGGUGAGUAACGCGUAGGUAACCUGCCUUGUAGCGGGGGAUAACUAUUGGAAACGAUAGCUAAUACCGCAUAACAGCUUUUGACACAUGUUAGAAGCUUGAAAGAUGCAAUUGCAUCACUACGAGAUGGACCUGCGUUGUAUUAGCUAGUAGGUAGGGUAACGGCCUACCUAGGCGACGAUACAUAGCCGACCUGAGAGGGUGAUCGGCCACACUGGGACUGAGACACGGCCCAGACUCCUACGGGAGGCAGCAGUAGGGAAUCUUCGGCAAUGGGGGCAACCCUGACCGAGCAACGCCGCGUGAGUGAAGAAGGUUUUCGGAUCGUAAAGCUCUGUUGUAAGAGAAGAACGUGUAGUGAGAGUGGAAAGUUCACACAGUGACGGUAACUUACCAGAAA
rnacentral:rRNA from 1 species